GAAAAAUUAGUUAAAUUAUAACAUAAGUUUGUCAUGCUUAAAUUAUCACACUGCUGAUAUUUUUCA
rnacentral:tRNA from 1 species